CCUACGGGACGCAGCAGUGGGGAAUAUUGCACAAUGGGGGAAACCCUGAUGCAGCAACGCCGCGUGAGUGAAGGAGGUUUUCGGAUUGUAAAGCUCUGUUAGCAGGGAAGAGGAAGGACGGUACCUGCAGAGGAAGCCACGGCUAACUACGUGCCAGCAGCCGCGGUAAUAUGUAGGUGGCAAGCGUUGUUCGGAAUAACCGGGCGUAAAGGAUGCGUAGGCGGGUAAGCAAGUUAUAUGUUAAAUAUAUAGGCUUACCCUGUAGAAAGCAUAUAAAACUGUUUAACUAGAGUGACGGAGAGGUA
rnacentral:rRNA from 1 species